AUAAGAAUUUUUCGUGUUGAAAAGAGAGGAUUUUCAUAGACAUACAGCGUAACCCUAUCAGAAUCAAUCUCCUAUAAUGAAGUAGUCGCAUGACCUCAAAAGCAUCAUGUCACCCGAAUUGCUCAAAUUCAUCUUGACUAUGUGUCACCAUUCUAGACACUACCUGAAUCUUUAAAACCCACGAUUCCAUUUCACCGGCAGUACUUUUCAGUUGCACAGGCCAGGCCUUGCUAAUUAAGAUGAGAAAAAGACUCGGACCCUACACACCAAAUCGCCGAAACAACACAUUUUUCACACACAAAUUGGUGCGACAAAAUUAUUUUACAACAAAAAUUAAUCAACAAAGCUAUAAAGAAAUCACAUUGUAGUUGUGACAACACUUACGCUAAUAGCUUCACUCCACAAGAUUCUUUAAUUUCUUACUGUCCAACCACCAU
rnacentral:misc_RNA from 1 species